rnacentral:rRNA from 1 species
UAGCUAGUUGGUGAGGUAACGGCUCACCAAGGCGACGAUCGGUAGCUGGUCUGAGAGGAUGGUCAGCCACACUGGGACUAAGAUACGGCCCAGACUCCUACGGGAGGCAGCAGUCGAGAGGCUUCGGCAAUGGGGGAAACCCUGACCGAGCGACGCCGCGUGAGGGAUUAAGCCCUUCGGGGUGUAAACCUCUUUUCUGGGGGAAGAAACUUGCGACGGUGAAUAAUCGUCGUGACUGACGGUACUCCAGGAAUAAGCUCCGGCCAACUCCGUGCCAGCAGCCGCGGUAAUACGGGGGGAGCAAACGUUGUUCGGAAUCACUGGGCGUAAAGGGCGCGUAGGCGGCCUCGUAAGUGGUGUGUGAAAUCUCCUGGCUCAACCAGGGAAUUGCGCUCCAAACUGCGGGGCUUGAGGGCAGUAGAGGAAGCUGGAAUUCCAGGUGUAGCGGUGAAAUGCGUAGAUAUCUGGAGGAACACCAUUGGCGAAGGCGAGCUUCUGGGCUGUCUCUGACGCUGAGGCGCGAAAGCUGGGGGAGCAAACAGGAUUAGAUACCCUGGUAGUCCCAGCCGUAAACGGUGAACACUAGGUGUGGGAAGUGUCGACCCCUCCCGUGCCGCAGCUAACGCAUUAAGUGUUCCGCCUGGGGAGUACGGUCGCAAGGCUGAAACUCAAAUGAAUUGACGG